GUAGUCAUAUGCUUGUCUCAAAGAUUAAGCCAUGCAUGUCUGAGUACCUGCCGACCUAAGGUGAAACCGCGAAUGGCUCAUUAAAUCAGUCAUAAUUUACAGGAUGUUGCUAAAUCCUUACUCGGAUAACUGUGGUAAUUCUAGAGCUAAUACGUGCAAUUGGGCUCCGACCUCGUCGGCACGAGUUGUCGUUUCGAGGGAAGGGCGCAUUUAUUAGACCAAAAACCGGGUGGACACGCGCGCGAGGUUUUGCGGUAAGGGUUUGUGGUCUUGUUGUGAAGGCGCUUCCCCUUCUUCUUCUCCUCGCCGUCCAUGCCUCUUCGGUUAUGUGGUGACUCUGGAUAACUAUUGCCGAGCGCUGAGGUCUUCGUACCGGCGCCGUAUCUUCCGAGUGUCUGCCUUAUCAGCUCUCGAUUGUAGGUUAUUCGCCUACAAUGGCUGUAACGGGUAACGGGGAAUCAGGGUUCGAUUCCGGAGAGGGAGCCUGAGAAACGGCUACCACAUCUAAGGAAGGCAGCAGGCACGCAAAUUACCCAAUCCCGGCUCGGGGAGGUAGUGACGAGAAAUAACGAUGUGGGACUCUUCCGAGGCCUCACAAUCGGAAUGAGUUCGAUGUAAAAACGUGGGCGAGGAUCCAUUGGAGGGCAAGUCUGGUGCCAGCAGCCGCGGUAAUUCCAGCUCCAAUAGCGUAUA
rnacentral:rRNA from 1 species